UACAACGAAUUGCGAACCCCUUGGUGUUUUUUUUUCGGACAAUCAAUCAGAAACCCGGAUGGACAAUUCCAACAACCAAAUAAAUGUAAUCGAGUCCUCAAUGUUGAACAACUGCAAAUCAUUCCGUUGGUUUAACAAUCAAUAAUGAACCCUGUUUGAAUGCCACCAGAACUUGCACGAAUUCCUGUUUAGUUCCUGAGGAAAGCAGCUGCUCACAAAAGAAGGAAUCUCACUUUCGACGUGACCUUGCGUGGAACAUAAAUUGAAACAGAUCCGGUGGCCAAAUCAGAUUUUACAGAGUCUCGGAAGGAUGGCGAAAAAAUGUAAUGUGUCUUUCUGCCUAGUCUAUCAUCAAACCAGAAAACCUUUAUUAUGGAAAGGUUAAUGAUUCCAAAACCACGUGAGAUUUCCCUACAGAACGUCAACCCGUGGUUUAUUGAUGACCUAAAGGAUUAGGGAGAUACAUCAGUAAUAUCAGACUUGCUCUUACUCUGGUCUACCAUGGGAUAGGAAAAUAUCUUACUAAUGGAUGGACGUCUCCCAGAAACAUAUCUAUGACAAAAAAAACUGUCUCAGAAAAUACAACUGAAGGUAGGCAUGACUUUCCAUCCAUCUUCGAGCUUGAAAACUAUACUGACGUUGCAAUUCUCUUGGUUAAUGGAAAUAGUUGCGGCAAAUAGAUGAUUUCACCGAAGAAAUCGUUGGAACCAUUGGGGACGGAAAAACUAACUACCAAGCAAUGCCGAAAAAAUCUUUGUAACCGAUUCAAAUCACUAUAGGUUGGUUUUUACAUCGAUUUGAACUAGUCUAGUAACCCCAGUGCAGAAUCCGGAUCCAUGUUAGCACAAGAAGUACGUCGACGGACUCUUAUUAAGGUUGACAGAAGGAGCAAAAAUUCCAAAUCUGGCCCACGGCUUCUUGAUGGAAGAAAACAGAUGCGGCCAAGGAGUCAAUCCACCGAAAAAUCUUCGGCGCAAGCAAUUCAUUGAGUGUAAUUUCGAGAUAAUUGCUGGACGAUGCUGAGUGAAAAUAGUCGGAAAAUAUUGUUUUUGGUAGCAUGGAAGUAUUUAAACAAGAAUAGAGCAGGCCGAGCAUUCAAAUUUAGGUAUAUUUGAAGCACUAUUAAAUGGGAUUAGGACUGUCAUUUUUCAUAAACGCCAAAAACAACGAAACGUUAGUGACAGAAGAAGAGAAGCUUCUCUGUUAAAGGAAUAACAUGAAAAAAACAUGAAAAAAGACAGUAAUGCUGAGCAACUCGGUCGUGACAGAUUCAAAUUGAAAGGCAAGGAUUCAGGACUUCUAACUAAGUAUUUAUUACCAAGCAAAUAAUUUGAAUCCGAUGGAUAGCUUUAAUUAUUGCUGUUUUGAUACCUACAAAUAAGUAACAAUAUUGUACAGUUAUUGAUUGUAUUCUUUUUGUGGCAUUCUUCCCUACUCUUGAUUGUCUUCGUGAAUUAUGUGCAAAU